UGGCGGCAUGCCUUACACAUGCAAGUCGAACGGCAGCACGGGGGCAACCCUGGUGGCGAGUGGCGAACGGGUGAGUAAUACAUCGGAACGUGUCAUGUAGUGGGGGAUAGCGCGGCGAAAGCCGGAUUAAUACCGCAUACGCUCUGCGGAGGAAAGCGGGGGCUCCUUCGGGACCUCGCGCUACAGGGGCGGCCGAUGGCAGAUUAGCUAGUUGGUGGGGUAAAGGCCUACCAAGGCGACGAUCUGUAGCUGGUCUGAGAGGACGACCAGCCACACUGGGACUGAGACACGGCCCAGACUCCUACGGGAGGCAGCAGUGGGGAAUUUUGGACAAUGGGCGCAAGCCUGAUCCAGCAAUGCCGCGUGUGUGAAGAAGGCCUUCGGGUUGUAAAGCACUUUUGUCCGGAAAGAAAACCUCAGCCCUAAUACGGCGGGGGGAUGACGGUACCGGAAGAAUAAGCACCGGCUAACUACGUGCCAGCAGCCGCGGUAAUACGUAGGGUGCAAGCGUUAAUCGGAAUUACUGGGCGUAAAGCGUGCGCAGGCGGUCCGCUAAGACAGAUGUGAAAUCCCCGGGCUUAACCUGGGAACUGCAUUUGUGACUGGCGGGCUAGAGUAUGGCAGAGGGGGGUAGAAUUCCACGUGUAGCAGUGAAAUGCGUAGAGAUGUGGAGGAAUACCGAUGGCGAAGGCAGCCCCCUGGGCCAAUACUGACGCUCAUGCACGAAAGCGUGGGGAGCAAACAGGAUUAGAUACCCUGGUAGUCCACGCCCUAAACGAUGUCAACUAGUUGUCGGGCCUUCAUUGGCUUGGUAACGUAGCUAACGCGUGAAGUUGACCGCCUGGGGAGUACGGUCGCAAGAUUAAAACUCAAAGGAAUUGACGGGGACCCGCACAAGCGGUGGAUGAUGUGGAUU
rnacentral:rRNA from 1 species